rnacentral:rRNA from 1 species
AGAUUAAACUGAAGAGUUUGAUCCUGGCUCAGAUUGAACGCUAGCGGGAUGCUUUACACAUGCAAGUCGAACGGCAGCACGAGAGAGCUUGCUCUCUUGGUGGCGAGUGGCGGACGGGUGAGUAAUAUAUCGGAACGUGCCUAGUAGCGGGGGAUAACUACUCGAAAGAGUGGCUAAUACCGCAUACGCCCUACGGGGGAAAGGGGGGGAUCGCAAGACCUCUCACUAUUAGAGCGGCCGAUAUCGGAUUAGCUAGUUGGUGGGGUAAAGGCUCACCAAGGCAACGAUCCGUAGCUGGUUUGAGAGGACGACCAGCCACACUGGGACUGAGACAC